AUAUUGUUAGUAUAAGAAUAAUUAUACCACUUUUCCAAAGUGGUGAUCUAUUAGAUAGACAAUAUA
rnacentral:tRNA from 1 species